GAAAUGCGAUAAGUAAUGUGAAUUGCAGAAUUCAGUGAAUCAUCGAGUCUUUGAACGCACAUUGCGCCCCCUGGCAUUCCGGGGGGCAUGCCUGUCCGAGCGUCAUUGCUGCCCUUCAAGCCCGGCUUGUGUGUUGGGUCGUCGUCCCCUCCGGGGGACGGGCCCGAAAGGCAGCGGCGGCACCGCGUCCGGUCCUCGAGCGUAUGGGGCUUUGUCACCCGCUCGAUAAGGACCGGCCGGGCGCCAGCCGGCGUCUCCAACCUUUUUUUCUCAGGUUGACCUCGGAUCAGGUAGGGAUACCCACUGAACUUAAGC
rnacentral:misc_RNA from 1 species